rnacentral:SRP_RNA from 1 species
CGCUGGCCCCCUCGCAACGGCAGGUUGUGAAUCCCGUCAGGCCCGGAAGGGAGCAGCGGCAGCAGCUUUGCUCGUGUGCCGAGGUGUGGCUGGUGCAG